rnacentral:snoRNA from 1 species
AUGGAUGGAGAUAUGCACUGAGCUCUGAGCAUCACUGUGGUCUGAAUUUGCCUAGAAAGCAUUGUCUGACAG